GGCGAACGCUGGCGGCGUGCUUAACACAUGCAAGUCGAACGGGUCUGCCCUGUUUUUUGCGGGGUGGGUCAGUGGCGAACGGGUGAGUAACACGUGAGUAACCUGCCCCUCACUUCUGGAUAACCGCUUGAAAGGGUGGCUAAUACGGGGUGUUCUGGCUGUGCCGCAUGGUGUGGCUGGGAAAGAUUCACUUUUGUGGUGUUUUGGUGGGGGAUGGGCUCGCGGCCUAUCAGCUUGUUGGUGGGGUGAUGGCCUGCCAAGGCUUUGACGGGUAGCCGGCCUGAGAGGGUGGGCGGUCACACUGGGACUGAGAUACGGCCCAGACUCCUGCGGGAGGCAGCAGUGGGGGGUAUUGCACAAUGGGCGGAAGCCUGAUGCAGCGACGUCGCGUGAGGGAUGGAGGCCUUCGGGUUGUGAACCUCUUUCGCCGGUGAAGAAGGUCCUGCUCUUUGUGGUGGGGUUGACGGUAGCCGGGUUAUGAAGCGCCGGCUAACUACGUG
rnacentral:rRNA from 1 species